AUUAUCAGAUUAACAAAAUAUGAUGGCAGAUAUUUAGCGCUUUAAUGACAUCUCGAAAAUAGCCUACGUUCCACUCCACAAGAAAUUUAUUUGAGGGAUAAUUAAAAAGGAAACAACAUGCUUAUGCAGGGAGUGUGUAAGCAAUGAGCAAAGUUCGGACGUAUUUACAGAUUCACAUAUUUCCUGAAUCAACAUCUCAACCGACGCAAGCGAAGCGUUGCGCUGCGCUGCGCUGUUCUCCCCGAAAAUCUGUCGUGAUUUUCUUUAUGGGAUUAGCAACACAGCCUGCAAUCAUGGACGGGUUAUUCAUGGAUAAGGGAGGCGCCUUGAAACAUCAGCAGCUUGGUCUCACUGUCUCUGUUUAUCUAUGUGUCUUGGUAGCGAUUGUCAUUCUCGCUGCCGUAGUCUACAUGCCCCCAAGACACUGCCAAAGGAGGAAUCGGGAUGAGGAACGACUCUCACUCACUGCUCACAGGAUUUCAUAGUUUCGAAUAUCUCCAUGUUUGAUUAAUAUUGUUAUAAAGAAAGAAAGAAACAAAGAAAUGUCGUGUCUUAGAAAGGUCUGUAGCCUAAUAUUUUAAUCGCCAUAUGACUAUUUUUGCAUAAAGGCUCGCCUAACCCAUUUAUUUGACAUGUCUUCACUGACAUUAAAACAAAAAUUACUUGUCCACAAACAAGUUGAUUUUGUAUAAUUAAUAGAGAUAAUCACGAGGUUGACAGUAUUCGUAUUUUCAUAAGUAAUUGCUGUAAACUGUGUGUUGCAGCGUGACUGCAUUUGAUGUGCAUUUGUCGUGACUGACCAGAAGAGGGUAGUAACACCAUUCUCAAAAAACAAUAGUCCUUGAACCAGACGUCUGUAAUGUGUUUGCUAUGUGUCCAUUGUUAGGUUGCUUUGCAACAAUACUCAACGGAUUUCACAAAAAUCUGAUGUCAAGAAUUUUGCAGAAGUUAUCAGGAGAGAGGUGCAUGUGGUUUGGUGACCUGGUGUUCAAAGCAAACAUGUAAGAUGUAAUUUUCCCAUUAAAAACCCUUGAGUGAAGCACAGGGUGAAUUUAAUAUUCACUCUUCUUGGGAAUUUGUAGAUAUUCAGGUGUAUAUUUAAAGACUUUAGUGACUAAAUCUGUAAAUGAAAGGCAGAAAGAGACUAUAUUGAUUGUACAUAAUGACAGUUUCAUGUGUCACCAUGAACAUGUGUCAUGAAUAAGUCAGCGGUUGUGACCAAUGUGUUUCAAUGUGAUCAAUGUUGUUUUGUCAUAUUCAAAAUUAACAUCAUACUGCACAACCUGCAGGUGGGCUUCUUCUCUCUCUUUUAUUUCCCAACAGAUCCAAAUGUGUGAAGCUCAGCUUUAAUUAAAAUCCUGAAAAGCC